rnacentral:tRNA from 1 species
GGGGAUUUGGCUCAGUGGUAGAGCACUUGCCUAGGAAGCGCAAGGUCCUGGGUUCAAUCCCCAGCCCCC